CCUACGGGAGGCAGCAGUGGGGAAUAUUGCGCAAUGGGCGAAAGCCUGACGCAGCGACGCCGCGUGAGGGAUGAAGGUCUUCGGAGCGUAAACCUCUGUCAGCAGGGAAGAAAGGUCACGGUGCUAAGCAGCAGUGAAUUGACGGUACCGGCAAAGGAAGCACCGGCUAACUCCGUGCCAGCAGCCGCGGUAAUACGGAGGGUGCGAGCGUUAAUCGGAAUUACUGGGCGGAAAGCGCUCGUAGGCGGUAUGUCAAGUCAAGGGUGAAAUCCCCGCGCUCAACGUGGGAACUGCCUUUGACACUGGCAACCUUGAGUGUGUGCGAGGAUAGUGGAAUUCCCGGUGUAGCCGU
rnacentral:rRNA from 1 species